CGCCUCGCGCUAUAUAAGCGCCGAAGAGGGCCUGACGACAUCCGAGUCGCAGUCAUCUCUGCACCAUGAAACUGAUCGUGUGUCUGCUGCUGGGGCUGGUGCUGGUAGCGGGGGCGCGCGCCCAGGAGGAGGCCAAGCCCGCCGAGCCGCUCAUCUCCCCGGACGCCAGCGUGGCCGUGCACGUGCCCGUGGUGGCAGCCCUGCCCUGGGCGCCCUGGGCCGCUCCCCCCUGGCCGGCCCUGCUCCCCGCCUAGCCGCCGGCCACGCGCCGCGUCACCAGCACCUGCUGCGUCGAAGAUACCACUAGCACAUUAGACUACACUACUUGUGAACAAUAACUGCUUGUAUUUGGGGAAUUAAACGCACUACUGCCAUAUC